UACGGAGGAUCCAAGCGUUAUCCGGAUUCAUUGGGUUUAAAGGGUGCGUAGGCGGCCUUAUAAGUCAGUGGUGAAAGCCCAUCGCUCAACGAUGGAACUGCCAUUGAUACUGUAAGGCUUGAGUACAGACGAGGUAGGCGGAAUUGAUGGUGUAGCGGUGAAAUGCAUAGAUACCAUCAAGAACACCGAUUGCGUAGGCAGCUUACUAGGCUGUAACUGACGCUGAGGCACGAAAGCGUGGGGAGCGAACAGG
rnacentral:rRNA from 1 species